GAUGAACGCUGGCGGCGUGCCUAAUACAUGCAAGUCGAGCGAACGGACGAGAAGCUUGCUUUUCUGAUGUUAGCGGCGGACGGGUGAGUAACACGUGGAUAACCUACCUAUAAGACUGGGAUAACUUCGGGAAACCGGAGCUAAUACCGGAUAAUAUUUUGAACCGCAUGGUUCAAAAGUGAAAGACGGUCUUGCUGUCACUUAUAGAUGGAUCCGCGCUGCAUUAGCUAGUUGGUAAGGUAACGGCUUACCAAGGCAACGAUGCAUAGCCGACCUGAGAGGGUGAUCGGCCACACUGGAACUGAGACACGGUCCAGACUCCUACGGGAGGCAGCAGUAGGGAAUCUUCCGCAAUGGGCGAAAGCCUGACGGAGCAACACCGCGUGAGUGAUGAAGGUCUUCGGAUCGUAAAACUCUGUUAUUAGGGAAGAACAUCUGUGUAAGUAACUGUGCACAUCUUGACGGUACCUAAUCAGAAAGCCACGGCUAACUACGUG
rnacentral:rRNA from 1 species